rnacentral:rRNA from 1 species
GUGGAGGCAACGUUGGGAUACCACCCUGAUCGUAUCUAGGUUCUAACCUGGUACCGUAAUCCGGUGCGGGGACAGUGUCAGGUGGGCAGUUUGACUGGGGCGGUCGCCUCCUAAAGAGUAACGGAGGCGCCCAAAGGUUCCCUCAGAAUGGUUGGAAAUCAUUCGAAGAGUGCAAAGGCAUAAGGGAGCUUGACUGCGAGACCUACAAGUCGAGCAGGGACGAAAGUCGGGCUUAGUGAUCCGGUGGUACCGCAUGGAAGGGCCAUCGCUCAACGGAUAAAAGCUACCCUGGGGAUAACAGGCUUAUCUCCCCCAAGAGUCCACAUCGACGGGGAGGUUUGGCACCUCGAUGUCGGCUCAUCGCAUCCUGGGGCUGAAGUAGGUCCCAAGGGUUGGGCUGUUCGCCCAUUAAAGCGGUACGCGAGCUGGGUUCAGAACGUCGUGAGACAGUUCGGUCCCUAUCUGUCGUGGGCGUAGGAAAUUUGAGAGGAGCUGUCCUUAGUACGAGAGGACCGGGAUGGACGUACCGCUGGUGUACCAGUUGUUCCGCCAGGAGCACCGCUGGGUAGCUAUGUACGGACGGGAUAAACGCUGAAAGCAUCUAAGCGUGAAGCCCCCCUCAAGAUGAGAUUUCCCAGUAUGUAAGACCCCUUGAAGACGACGAGGUAGAUAGGCUGGGGGUGGAAGUGCAGCAAUGCAUGGAGCUGACCAGUACUAAUCGGUCGAGGGCUUAUCCAAU